ensembl:lncRNA novel transcript
GUGGCAAUUUGGAGCUUCAAUAAAAUGAGGGAAAAAUGAAAACAGCUUAAUAGGUGCUUGUGCUGGAAACCUAAUUACAUAAAGAUUAUUCCAGGUGUCCAAGGCAGGGUUGAUGAAAGAAUCGCCUAGGAAAGUUACGCUGAAAAUUGUCGGGAAAUGGAAGGAUUCAAGAGACAUUUGAAAGACAGAAUUGGUACUAUUGAAUGACCACUUGGACACAGGGGAUGAAAAUGAGGAAAUAUAGAAGGACUAUGACUAGAUGGGGAUGCCAUCAACACAAGAAAAGGAGGAGGAACAGAUUUGAGAAGACACUAUUCUUACUGAGUAUCACCACUCAUUUUUAUGAUACUUCUAGCAGGAUGAAUAAUCUGAUAUCAUGUGAAAUGAGGAAAUAAGAAGCUUUCUGCUGACUUCAUUUUGACCCAGGGUCCAAAAGGUGAUGUAAUCCUGUGGCAAGAAGGUAAAGCUAUAUUCUUGUCCGUACCAGAUGAAAGUGAACUAUCUCUGCUUCAUCAUUCACAACUGUCCUAAUAAAUGGCCACAAGUCCCUUUGUAUUCCAGGAGGUAGACUCAAGUAGGCACUUCCUCGAGGGUACUCAGAUUUCCUUUAACUGUGUCUGAGAACGCAUUCAUAUCUGGAAAUUGGAUACCGUCUCUCUUUUCUAGACAU